rnacentral:lncRNA from 1 species
CUUUUUUUUUAAAAAAAAGGAAACUCUCUGAAAGAGAGUUAAGGGCAGACCCUCGGAGCGCUGUAAUGUCUUCGUCAUCGGGUCCCCUACACGCCUACGCGCCACCACACAUGGUGGUCGGAAGGUAAAGAAAAACUUCUCCUUUUUAGCGAAAAUCAGGUAAUCUCUUUUCCUUUUACUAUUUGUAAUAAAAAAAAUCACCUUUGUACUUGAGUAGCUACUGGUUCUGUAAAUUAGUAACACUGUAUUUUGUCGGAUUUGUGUGUAUAUUUCUCCUCUGGUAAAUUGUGUGUAUCUUAUUCUUUGUAAAAAACUCACCCUACAAAUUAGAAAAAGACGGGUUUUUAUAACCCUUUGUAAGUGAUUUACAAUCUAGGAAAGAAAUCCUUUGAUUUCUUUCUAUAUUUUGCCUCUAUUUUCUGUUGUGUUUUUUUUUUAUUUUGUAGAUGUCUCGCGAGGAAAUCAGCGAAUCAGGGUGAUCAGGCCCUGAUGGCUUCGGUGCUGGCGCUGAUCUGCUUUCAUUUGGCUUCAACCACAGCCAAAUUCGAGGUCGGGAAUCGCGGCGUCGAUUGGGGCAGAUGGAACGACAGAAGUUGAAGGGGCGUGACUGAUGGGGUGAUUACAGCGCAAAGCAUCUGAAACCCUAGGGUUUCCAGAUUCUGUUUAGGCAUUGGGCCUCAUUUAGGUUGGGUAAAUUUUGGGCCAAAGGUUUAGGCUAACUGGGUUGUAACCGGGUGCUGGGUUUUGGUAUUUGGGCCUUUGUAAACUGGACUGUAAUGGACUAUUUAUUUAUCCAAUUUUAGCCCGGUCAAAUUUGGGCUACUACAAUGAGUAUUGAAUAUUUCUAUACAGAUAAUACAAAGAUUAAUUUUGAAGAAUUUAAAAA